rnacentral:lncRNA from 10 species
CUUUCAGCCAAGACUGAAUGCCACUAAUGGGCCAUUACCUGAAGGUACCGUGAAGGGCGAGCUUGUCCUUGGGAAAUAAACCUCUGGUGUGAAUUAUUCCACUUGCAUCUGACCAGCGUCAACACUGAUGGCCUGUGGAGUGGGUAGGUUUGUAUCCACUCAACAGCCUAAUUACAUUCCAUAAAUGUUGGUAACCUUUCCUUUGCUAUCUCCGCAAAUGUAAGUAUCUGUAGUUCCUGUUUCUCUUUUCAGCCUACAGAAUAUUAUUAUUUUUUCCCUUUCUUUACAAGCAAGAGCACAAAUGAAUUUACUAGAGCUGACUGGCUCCAGUUCCUUUGGAACAAAUGCUAAGCAUAACAGGAUCAGACAUAAGGAAAAAAAUUUAAAAGGAUGUUUGAUAGAAAUAUUUUCAAAAUUAUGCUGUAAAAACCUAGGUGGAGUUCAUAGUUAUGGAUAUAAUUUUGUCUGUAGAGGACAGGAUCAAGUUUUACAGAUGUGUUGAUGAAAAGAUUAAAACUCAGUAAAAUUGAAGAGAUGUAUUCUAAGCCAAAUAUGAGUGACCUGUGGCCUGUGAUACAGCCCUCAGGAGAUGUUGAGAACACGUGCCCAAGGUGGUCAGGUUACAGCUCGGUUUUAUAUGCUUUAAAGAGACAUAAAGCAUCAGUCAGUACAUGCAAGGUGUAUAUCGAUUUGGUCUGAAAAGGCCGGAAAACCGGAAGUGGAGGAUUCCAGGUCAUAGGUAGAUUCAAAGAUUUUCUGAUUGGCAGUUGGUUGAAACAGUUAAAUUAUUGUCUAAAGACUUAGAAUCAAUAGAAAGGAAUGUCUGGGUCAAGAUAAGGGGUUGUGGAGACCAAGGGUUUAUCACGCAGAUGAAGCCUCCAGGUAGCAGACUUCAGAGAGAGUAGAUUGUGAAUGUUUCUUAUCAGACUUAAAGAGUCUGUCCUAUCAGUAGUUCAAAAAAGGAGGAGGGUAUAAUGAGGCAUGUCUGGCUUCCCCUUCCCCUUAUGACCUGAACUAGUUUUUCAGGUUAACUUUGGAAUGCCCUUGGCUGAGAAGAGGGGUCUGUUCCUAUCGGGUGGCUUAGAAUUUUAUUUUUGGUUUACAGAUGGGACUUAAACAUAUAUACAGAAAAUUGGUCUAGCAUAUGACUGUUUACUCCAAUGUCACCUUUAUUACAUCUCAUGCAACAGGACCUUCUUUUGCAGAGCCUAAGCUCAGUCCACAGCAGGGCAUGCUGCAUGAUGCUUGGAAGCUGGGGGGUGUUGAUUUCAAAGCUGCUUCCAGGAGAAAAACCACUUUUAUGGGACAGAGUGUGAGUAUUAGGGGAAAGAUGGGUGGAAGUAGGCACAAAGAAGAAGACAGGCAGGCAUAGGAUACAGGUGAGGGCUUCGCAGAUGCACGUCAACCAGGUGCAAAGCUGGUGAACUUUGUACAGGUCUGCCAGCUGAGGCCAGGGAGUUACAGGGAGUUAAAUGUGGGGACACAGGUGUACACACGGGUUUAUGUUCUAAACCUGAGUUUCUUGCAGGUAACAGUUUCUAUGAAUAUGCUAGCACUUGGGAAAAACAGGAGGUCAUGGUGGAUUAUAUUUGUAGCCAGAAUUUCUUGCAAGUAAUUUAGUUUCUAAGAAUACGUGCAUUAACUUUGAAAUAAAAACUGGGGAUACAGAUGAAUAUCAUAUACUAAGAAAACCUCAGGAAUGAGAAUUUUUAUCUCUUUUCUUCCGUAGGUCCACCUGCUGUUCUUUCUCAGAGCAGAUGUCAAAGCAUCAAAACGAGCAAUGUUGCGUUAGUUGGGGGUGGUUUGCACCUUCUAAACUGCCUCGCUUCCGCCUUUCCACCACCUCUUUCUAAAGCCUCCCUCCCCUCACACAAAUAGCUGGCUUGGUAGUUGAUAAGUAAAAAACUUGUAGUUACCUUGAAAUUCAUAAAGCAGAGGUGUCAGAGUUUACAAAAGACCAUAAAACAUAUGGAAAAUUCCUUUGAUUCUUGGGACUUGUUAUGCUCUAUGAAGUUACCUGGAACACUGCAUUGGCCCAUACUGAACUAUUGCUUCUUAGAGAAACACAGGGUCUGGUGCCUGCAAGUCUUUGGUCACAGAAUUUUGUCAAGCAGUCAAUGCAUAACCGUUUUUGAGUGUGUUUCUAUGGAAAGACACUAUAUUUAACCUAGAGAUACUGUUGAUUCAUUAAGAUUGAGCUCGCCUCCAACAGCGCUAUAACUUGUGCCUGCAUGAAGCUUGUCUGACACUUGUAUUUUUUCCAUGAGGCACAUACCAGGCUUGAACUUAGGAACGCUAGCCAGCACUUCAUCCCUAUGUUUGGGGCCAUUUUAAACAGAAAAAUCACUACCAAAAAGCACAAAAGUGCGAGAAACAGGGCACCACACAGACCAUGGAAAAGACAUUUGUUUACAGCAGGAGACAAGAAAGCAGGCCUUGCGCUGCCUCAGCUGGGAACUUGCCCACUAGGCAAUUCAAAUUCUUUGCCACUUUGUGUGUGUCCUCAGAAGACUGUGAAAGUGCUGCCAGCAUUGAUUUUUGGGGCUACAAACACAUCCUAGUGAGCAGGCCAAUUUGCAAAUAUGGAGUCUGAAUAUAGUGCAUAUGACUAUAUUUAUUACUUGCUACCUUAGUCUGAGCUGCUAUGACAAAAUACUGCUAUAACAAAAUACCUGAGGCUGGGUAAUUUGCAAGAACAGAAAUGUAUCUCUCACAGCUCUGGGGGCUGUAAAGUCUGAGAAGCAGGUGCUGGAAGGUUUGGUGUCUGGUGAGGGCUGCUUCAUCGAUGGCCUCCUCUCUCAGCUGCAUCCUCACAGGCUGGAAGGUGGAGGGGCAGAAAGGGCCUAAGCUGGUUCCCUCCAGCUCUUUCUAAAAAAUAAGAUGCUAACACACGCAGGGCUUAAAACCUAGAUGGCAGGUUGAUAGGUAUAGCAAACCACUGUGGUACAUGUAUACCUAUGUAACAAACCUGCACGUUCAGCACAUGUACCUCAGAACUUAAAAGAAAAAAUAAUAAGGUGCUAAUCCAUGUUUGAUGGUAGAAUAUUCAAGACUUAAUCACUUCCCCAAAAGCCCCACUUCUUAAUACCGCCAUGAUAGGAAUUAAGUUUCAACCUGACUGAUGGAGGGGACACCAUCACUGAAACCAAAGCACUUGCUAACAACUGAUCUUCCCAAAGAGUUUCCAAGAAUGUAAGUUCUCUCAAGUGAGAUACUCAACGCAAGGUAGUAUUUUACUUUGGAUGGGGUGGCCUAUUUUCAUCUCUUUUUCAGAUUAGCAAAUUCUAUUUUAGCUCUCAUAAUUUGAAUGGGAGCUGAUCCCUCCCAGGGUCUCAGUGAUUCAGCCUCUUUGCCGCACACUCAUAUUUCUGGCCUGAAAUUCUUUUGAGGUUGAAGCGGAUAGACUAGGUUUCCUCUCUUUUGAUUGAAGGAUGGAAAGGCUGAUGACACACAGGCCAGGUGACAGCAGAGCAGCUCAGCACAAGGGCCGAGGCUGGCUGCAGCUCUGACGGGCAUGUUCUGGACUUCAGCAAGUAUGGAACCUCCCUGUGCCUCAGUUUAUACACUUGUAAAUGGGUGGAUAAUAAUGGCACUGUCAAUCAGGAAUCCAGACUCAGAAAGGCACAAACUCCUGGCCACAACCCCUGCUGCAGACGGAGGGAGUCUGGGGCCCCAGGAGGAUCCGGAUGCUGGUGCUGUCGGCUGUGGAGAGAAAAGACAUGCUUGAGGAGAACUGUGCCCUGUCUAUGGCUCAGCCUUCCAGGGUAUCUAAUUCUGGUUCUAAGGGAACUGUUUCACAACUUGCUAAGGUGCAGACAACUGACAGCAAUGCAGAGAGAUGACUCCAUUGCAGCCAGGUAUAGCUCUGUAAGUCUUAUGAACCACAAUGCCACCUGUUGAUUGGAAAAGGGUGAUCAUGGGAGAGGGGAGGCUCAUUUUAAGCGGUAUCUCCAGGCUUCCACAGAGAAAUGUCACCUUUCCGUGUGUUGAGUAAGCCUAUGAGAAGGAGAGCCCUGUACUUCCUCCAUAUGCACCCCCACGUACUCUCCCUCACUCUCAGCCUCGAGAAAGGUGAGCGAUACUGGUCUGUCAUGAAGGUUACCUGGAUGAGAAACCGAAUAUACAAAGUGACAGGGCUGGACUAUGUAUAACAGUCCAGCUCUACAACCUCUGCAGCAACCAGGCCGGAAAGCCAGCCACAGCCUCUGCAGUCAGCAGCCAAGAACAGUCAGGGCUCUAUUCACAACCGCCAGCUUCCCUGAUUUUUGUACCCCACCCCCAACUCAGGACCUACUGGAGAAAGCCUGCCAAUCGCACAGAUGCCUGCUUCUAGCGGGCUGCCUCCAGCUUCCCCACACCAACAGCCCCCACUCGGGGUGCACCGGAAUCCCUCCUUCUCUUUUUUCACAAUUUGCCUUCCCACUCCUCUGCUUGCCUUUGAGUCUCUGACAAAUGCAGGUGCUGAAGGCUGCUUCCCUUGGUCUCGAAAGCGCUGAAUAAAUAGCCUCUGCUUGUUCCAUUUGGGUGGACUUUGUUUAUUUCCACAAAAGGAACCACAUGUUAGGGCUCUGGCCAGCAGCUGAAGGCGUGGGAGCCCAGGAAGGAUGGGGCUGUCACUGUCCAUCUCUCGCUGCUCUUUCUCUCAUGCUUUUGGUUUGGGAAGUCGUGCACCAGGGAUUUGGCUACCAAAAAUUUGCAGAAAACUCUCUAAUAAAUAAAUAGUCCUAAUCACUGGUGAUGCAACUAUUGAUAAUGUAAUACACCAUGGAGCACAUUUUCUAUCUGUGUUUUUAUUUUUUAUCUAUGUAUCAAAAUGUAUUUUACGUUUUCAUUUCUGAUCAUUUUUAGCCAGUCAUGUAUGAUGAUAUUUGUAACAUUGAGAAGAUGAAACAUCCUACUGCUAUCAACCAAUGACUGGCUGGAACAGCUGGAGUGCAGAGUUGAGAUUCCUCAUGUCUCUGGAAUCAGAGACACCGAGCCCCGAGUCCUGGCCUGGCAGCUCACUGGGAGUGAGACCAUGGGCAUAUUUCUUACCCUCUGCAAUCCUGCAUCCUCCUCGGAAGGAAGUUGCUUGUUAUUUUGAAUAAGCAAGCUUCAUGAAUAAAAUGCUGACCUACUGUCUGCUCUCCACACUGCUACACUGGUUAGCACACUGUAAUUGCAAAACACUUUGCUAGAGCCUUUUGCCGAAUUUCCCUCAAAAGAGGCAAGUUUUGAUUUUUUUUUUUUUUUGUCAAGCAUAUACCCUCCGAUUUAGCUGUUCACCAUCUUUGUAAUCUACUGGGACUGUGAUGUAACCUCUGGCAUCUAAGAUUCUUCAGGCUUGUUAAUAACCACCAGCUACAGCUGAGAGAAAAGCAAGAAUGCAAGGUUUGGAUAGAUAAUGGCAGUGGAAGGAAGGAGCUGGGAAGAUAAUUAAAACAAUGACAUUCUAAGGUAGCUGAAGUUUCCCUUUUAUUGAAAAUAUUUGAGAAUCUUUAGGAUCUCCAAUUUUCUGCUCUCAGUAAUUUUUCUCAACAAAUUAUUCCACUACUGCCUCACGGAAGCAUAAACCACUGUCUCCAGUGCUUGGAGAAAUCACAAAAUUUCAAAAAACAGCCACAAUCAUUGUUUUCAAAAAAUGUAUGUUAAAAUUAAUUUAUAGUUAAGUUUACUUUUUACCCUUUAUAUCAGAAGAGGCCAUUUAUUAUUUAUUUAUUUCAGAAUUAUUUCUUUCCUAUUUUUAUUGUAUGUAUUUAUCAUGUACAACAUGAUGUUUUGAAGUAAGUAUACAUUGUGGAAUGGCUAAAUCAAGCUAAGCAUAUGCAUUACCUCACAUACUUAUCUUUUUUUUGUGGUGAGAACACUUAACAUCUACUCUCAUGUUUGAGUUCCUUAUGUAUGUUAGAUAUUAACUCCUUAUCAGAUAUAGUUUGAAAAUACUUUCUACCUUUUGUUGUCUGUGUUGGCAAUUUUCAAGAAUACAAUACAUUGUUAUUAACUAUAGUCAUCACAUUGUACAAUCGGGUCUCUUGAAUUUAUUCCUUCUGUCUAACUGAAAUUUUGUAUCCUUUGACCAACAUCUCUCUAAUCCCAUUCUACUCUCUACAUCUAUGAGUUCAGCUUUGUCUAUUAUACACACAAGUGAGAUCGUGUAGUGUUUGCCUUUCUCUUCCUGGCUUAUUUCAAUCCUGCAGUUCCAUCCAUGUUGUCACAAAUGAUAAGAUUUUCUUCUUUAUAAAGGCUGUAUAGUUCUUCAUCAUGUAGAUGCACCACAUUUUAAAAAAUCCUUUCAUCCAUUGGUGGACACUGAGAUUAUUUCCAUAUCUUGGUUUGGAACAGGAAUUAAAGGAAAUUAAAGAAUGUGUAAGCAGAAACUCAGCUGCAUGUAAGAAAACCCAGUUCCCCCCCAGAAAAAGAAAGAGCUGGAGUCCUUUAAAAAUUAACUGCCUGUUUUUCUGUGGCUAGUGAGCCUUAUCUCUCCUCCUUUCCCAGGCAUUGUGAAGACCCUGUUUCUCUAGCUGUGCAGCUGCAAGGUCACUCGACAGAUAAACUCAAGUUGUAAAACAUGUUUUUCCUUGAAAAGUAAGAAAUGAUGUAAUGGAUGUCUCAAUUAAUUGAAUAACUGUCUUUGUUUCUCGCUCCUGUAAUAUGCUUCCUCCUGCACAGAUCUCCCCCUGCCCCACGAAAUGCUUAAAAGGUAACUUAACUUUUUGUUCAGGGCUCAGUCCCUUGGAUGUUAAACCAACUGGGCCGGUGCACCUAAAUAAUAAAUAUCCCCCUGAACCUCAUCAGUCUCUCUGAUUCCUUGUCAAUCCCACUACAGGUUAUUGUGAACAAUACUAAAAUCAACAUGGAAUUGUAGACAUCUCUUCAACAUACUGAUGUCAAUUCCUUUGGAUAUAUACCAGUCGUGGGAUUGUUGGAUCAUAUGGUAGUUCUAUUUUUAAUUGUUGAAGAAACUUCAUACUGUUUUCUAUAACAGUUGUACUAAUUUAUGUUCCCACCAACAGUAUGCAAAGGUUCCCUUUUCUCUAUAUACUUGACAGUGACAGAGCAGGGGCACUGUCAUCUUGGACAAACACUGUCACUUUAAGUUCCAGCUCCAUUUUUAGCCUCAUGAAUUUCAAGGAAAUCACUUCUCUUCUAACAGCAAGCAGCCAGAAAGAGAGACAGUAAAACACAGAUAAGACAGCUGGAGCACAGAGGGAGAGGGGAAAGUCUUUUGAGUAACUGCCAAACUUCACACUCAUACAAUGGGCCCCAGUAAAACAGUGGGCCCUAAUAAGCACAUUCCUUUCCCUUUAGGUGCACUAAGAUAGGAAAGCCAAAAUCAGACUUGGAGGGUAUGCCUGUAGCUUCAGGAAGAUGUAUGGGAACAGACAAAAACUCUCUCUCCAAGAUAAGUAUGACAAAGAGGCACAGAAACAGUCCAAGCCUCUGAUAAGCUCUCCUGCCCUGAACCCUUAAAAACUCUUAGUCUGUAAGAGAGAGUGCCUCUGACCUAACUAGGCCAGAAGCCCCUCUCAGGUUGAUUCUUCAAAAUAAAGCUGCCUUUGACUGUUAAGCCACUAUUUGUGUUUCUUUCCUCUUUCUUUAGUUCUUACAGACAGCACUGGUUGUCUUCCCUUUUUAAAAUAAUAGAAAAUGUAACAAGUGUGAGGUGAUAUCUCAUUAUGGUUUCAAUUUGCAUUUCUCUGAAGAUUAGUGAUGUUGAUCAUUUUUUCAAAUACUUUUUGGCCAUUUGUAUGUCUUCUUUUAAGAAAUG